UUUAGCACUGUUACUUCUAAGUCGCCUCUGUUUUCUUGGUGGAUCUUCUUUCCUGGUGAUCAUCAGACCUGUUUUCAAACUGGUCAUCAUUAUUGAGGCUGCCCUUGAACUAGCAUUCAAAAUUAUCGCGGUCGUCCUCAUAGUGAUAAGAGCCAAAACAUGUGACGGUUUGGAGAUCAAAUUUACAGCUUUGACAGUGACUGCCAUGGUCUUAAGCUUGCUGCACAUCAUCACCAUUUCUCUUUACCGUGAACCAAGCCAAACUAAACA